rnacentral:rRNA from 1 species
CAUCCCGAAACUAAGCGAGCUACUCUAAAACAGCCCCAGAGCUAACUCAUCCUUGUUACAAAAAGGUGAGAAGAUUUUAAAGUAGAGGUGACACACCUAUCGAGCUUAGAGAUAGCUGGUUAUUCAAAAAAUGGAUUUAAGUCCAACUUUAAGUUUCAUUAGUUUAAAUAAACAAUCAACAAACUUAAAAGCCAUUCAAAUAAGGUACAGCCUAUUUGAACAAGAAAACAAUCUACAACAUAGGGUAAUGACUACUACAUGGCCAAGUAGGCCUAAAAGCAGCCAUCUUCCAAAAAGCGUCCAAGCUCCUCCUCAUUUUAAUUUUUGAUCCCCCUAUUAAUUCACAACCCUCAACUAAUACUGAAUGACCCCAUACUCAUAUGGGAGACAUUAUGCUAGAACUAGUAACAAGAAGACGAACUUCUCCAAAAUGUGAGCAUAAGCCAAAAUAAACAUUUUACUGGCACUUACCGCUAAAACCAUAGUAUAUCUCCACAAGAAAACUCUACUAACGCUAGCGCUAGCCUUACACCAGA